AACGAAAUAUAGGAUAAGGAUUAGUUUACGUUUAUAAAUUCGAGAUAAGGGAUUUAAUUUUAUUCUUACACUAAUAAAAGCGGUUUUGUGGUAGAGAAAAAAAUCUAAAAAAAAGGUUGUGUAGUAUAGAAAAAGAACAUUAAUUUUG
rnacentral:sRNA from 1 species